UCCCUUUAUCCGCCAAAAAAUAAGUGUCUCUUUUACAUUGAUAUGCCCCCAGUUUCUACUUUUGUGUGACAUAAUUGUGGUAAAUCUUCUUCUUACUUGCCUAAUUGCGUAAGAGCCGUAUUAACUUAAAAGUUGGGCUAUUCACUAUGAUACCACAUAAAAUAUUUCUUUAUUGGCUCUUUCUAUAAUGGUUCAUUAUGCACCAGUUCAUUUUCAUUUGGAUCAAAGUUACAUACUUUGUACUUACCUUCAAAAUCAUGACUUCCACCAAUUCCCUUCCUUUCUCUUAGAAAUAGAUAUUGCCAAUUAACAUUUAGAAUUCAGAUGUGAACAAUUUCGUCAUUAGACAAAUCAAAAGGUGUCAAUGUUGUGCUUAAAUUCGGCUCAAUAGAUUGAACUAGUGUAUCAACGAGUGGCAAUGUUUGCUAGCUAUCCUUUAAUGGACAAACAAUGAUUAGAAUAAGUUUUGAGAAGCUGAAAGUUGACUGUUUGACUUUGAAUAUUGCAUACCAUGUCUGGACUGAUGGAGAUCAUUGAGUUGUUAUCUGCUAUGUUUUCCCUUUUCUGGUGGAUAUUUUUGCCAUCAAUUUCUUGCUUGAAAUCGUAAUUUAAGUAAGUUACUGUCCCGUAUCAGUUUGUGAAGUCUAUGUUACUAAAAUCUGUCAAAAUAGUCUUAUCUUUAGCAUAAUGACUGUUGUUACAAUGUGUGAAAAUUGUAUGGUAUACAAUAGAGGAGAUGCUAUUCUUGUCUCAACUAAAUGAUCCUUGUACCCUAGGAGAACAUGUUUUUGGAGGGUUACGGACAUUAAUGCGCACACAUUGAAUCUAGACUUACAAAGUAUAUAAAGCCUGGCAUUAGAGAUUUAACCUUCAUGACAUAUGCUAUGUUACUUCAGUAUGAGUACUAGGCUUGCUAGUAUUAUCCGUUAUCAAUUCUUUUAUGGUAUCUGGUAAUUUGUUAGAGGUAUGAAAAUACCCAUAUCCAUGCCUAUUUGUUUGACUUCAGUGAAUCAGUGGAAACAAAGAGUUUGCUUGUGUCAAUAGUGGCAAUCUGCACUCAGUUUCUUUGUGAAGUCCAAUUAUACAAAAUCAGUUCCUACUAGGAGAAGAAAGAAUUGGUCAUUAGGUGAACGUUUCAUUUUGUUGGAACUGAAUCAUCAUGAGAAUAACUUAUGUUCAUCUAUUCUUCUUC